GGGUUGUGAGGUUAAGCGACUAAGCGUACACGGUGGAUGCCCUGGCAGUCAGAGGCGAUGAAGGACGUGCUAAUCUGCGAUAAGCGUCGGUAAGGUGAUAUGAACCGUUAUAACCGGCGAUUUCCGAAUGGGGAAACCCAGUGUGAUUCGUCACACUAUCAUUAACUGAAUCCAUAGGUUAAUGAGGCGAACCGGGGGAACUGAAACAUCUAAGUACCCCGAGGAAAAGAAAUCAACCGAGAUUCCCCCAGUAGCGGCGAGCGAACGGGGAGCAGCCCAGAGCCUGAAUCAGUGUGUGUGUUAGUGGAAGCGUCUGGAAAGGCGUGCGAUACAGGGUGACAGCCCCGUACACAAAAAUGCACAUGCUGUGAGCUCGAUGAGUAGGGCGGGACACGUGGUAUCCUGUCUGAAUAUGGGGGGACCAUCCUCCAAGGCUAAAUACUCCUGACUGACCGAUAGUGAACCAGUACCGUGAGGGAAAGGCGAAAAGAACCCCGGCGAGGGGAGUGAAAAAGAACCUGAAACCGUGUACGUACAAGCAGUGGGAGCACGCUUAGGCGUGUGACUGCGUACCUUUUGUAUAAUGGGUCAGCGACUUAUAUUCUGUAGCAAGGUUAACCGAAUAGGGGAGCCGAAGGGAAACCGAGUCUUAACUGGGCGUUAAGUUGCAGGGUAUAGACCCGAAACCCGGUGAUCUAGCCAUGGGCAGGUUGAAGGUUGGGUAACACUAACUGGAGGACCGAACCGACUAAUGUUGAAAAAUUAGCGGAUGACUUGUGGCUGGGGGUGAAAGGCCAAUCAAACCGGGAGAUAGCUGGUUCUCCCCGAAAGCUAUUUAGGUAGCGCCUCGUGAAUUCAUCUCCGGGGGUAGAGCACUGUUUCGGCAAGGGGGUCAUCCCGACUUACCAACCCGAUGCAAACUGCGAAUACCGGAGAAUGUUAUCACGGGAGACACACGGCGGGUGCUAACGUCCGUCGUGAAGAGGGAAACAACCCAGACCGCCAGCUAAGGUCCCAAAGUCAUGGUUAAGUGGGAAACGAUGUGGGAAGGCCCAGACAGCCAGGAUGUUGGCUUAGAAGCAGCCAUCAUUUAAAGAAAGCGUAAUAGCUCACUGGUCGAGUCGGCCUGCGCGGAAGAUGUAACGGGGCUAAACCAUGCACCGAAGCUGCGGCAGCGACACUGUGUGUUGUUGGGUAGGGGAGCGUUCUGUAAGCCUGCGAAGGUGUGCUGUGAGGCAUGCUGGAGGUAUCAGAAGUGCGAAUGCUGACAUAAGUAACGAUAAAGCGGGUGAAAAGCCCGCUCGCCGGAAGACCAAGGGUUCCUGUCCAACGUUAAUCGGGGCAGGGUGAGUCGACCCCUAAGGCGAGGCCGAAAGGCGUAGUCGAUGGGAAACAGGUUAAUAUUCCUGUACUUGGUGUUACUGCGAAGGGGGGACGGAGAAGGCUAUGUUGGCCGGGCGACGGUUGUCCCGGUUUAAGCGUGUAGGCUGGUUUUCCAGGCAAAUCCGGAAAAUCAAGGCUGAGGCGUGAUGACGAGGCACUACGGUGCUGAAGCAACAAAUGCCCUGCUUCCAGGAAAAGCCUCUAAGCAUCAGGUAACAUCAAAUCGUACCCCAAACCGACACAGGUGGUCAGGUAGAGAAUACCAAGGCGCUUGAGAGAACUCGGGUGAAGGAACUAGGCAAAAUGGUGCCGUAACUUCGGGAGAAGGCACGCUGAUAUGUAGGUGAAGUCCCUCGCGGAUGGAGCUGAAAUCAGUCGAAGAUACCAGCUGGCUGCAACUGUUUAUUAAAAACACAGCACUGUGCAAACACGAAAGUGGACGUAUACGGUGUGACGCCUGCCCGGUGCCGGAAGGUUAAUUGAUGGGGUCAGCGCAAGCGAAGCUCUUGAUCGAAGCCCCGGUAAACGGCGGCCGUAACUAUAACGGUCCUAAGGUAGCGAAAUUCCUUGUCGGGUAAGUUCCGACCUGCACGAAUGGCGUAAUGAUGGCCAGGCUGUCUCCACCCGAGACUCAGUGAAAUUGAACUCGCUGUGAAGAUGCAGUGUACCCGCGGCAAGACGGAAAGACCCCGUGAACCUUUACUAUAGCUUGACACUGAACAUUGAGCCUUGAUGUGUAGGAUAGGUGGGAGGCUUUGAAGUGUGGACGCCAGUCUGCAUGGAGCCGGCCUUGAAAUACCACCCUUUAAUGUUUGAUGUUCUAACGUUGACCCGUGAUCCGGGUUGCGGACAGUGUCUGGUGGGUAGUUUGACUGGGGCGGUCUCCUCCUAAAGAGUAACGGAGGAGCACGAAGGUUGGCUAAUCCUGGUCGGACAUCAGGAGGUUAGUGCAAUGGCAUAAGCCAGCUUGACUGCGAGCGUGACGGCGCGAGCAGGUGCGAAAGCAGGUCAUAGUGAUCCGGUGGUUCUGAAUGGAAGGGCCAUCGCUCAACGGAUAAAAGGUACUCCGGGGAUAACAGGCUGAUACCGCCCAAGAGUUCAUAUCGACGGCGGUGUUUGGCACCUCGAUGUCGGCUCAUCACAUCCUGGGGCUGAAGUAGGUCCCAAGGGUAUGGCUGUUCGCCAUUUAAAGUGGUACGCGAGCUGGGUUUAGAACGUCGUGAGACAGUUCGGUCCCUAUCUGCCGUGGGCGCUGGAGAACUGAGGGGGGCUGCUCCUAGUACGAGAGGACCGGAGUGGACGCAUCACUGGUGUUCGGGUUGUCAUGCCAAUGGCACUGCCCGGUAGCUAAAUGCGGAAGAGAUAAGUGCUGAAAGCAUCUAAGCACGAAACUUGCCCCGAGAUGAGUUCUCCCUGACUCCUUGAGAGUCCUGAAGGAACGUUGAAGACGACGACGUUGAUAGGCCGGGUGUGUAAGCGCAGCGAUGCGUUGAGCUAACCGGUACUAAUGAACCGUGAGGCUUAACCUUACAACGCCGAAGGUGUUU
rnacentral:rRNA from 1 species